GUUACGUCCACGGACAAGUCUAGUGAUGUACGAACAUCACUAGACUUGUCCGUGGACGUAAA
rnacentral:miRNA from 1 species